GCAGGGCGUGGUGGUGUCUCCUGUAGUCCCAGCUACUGGGGAGGCUGAGGCAGAAGGAUCACUUGAGCCCAGCAUUUCUUGGCAAGCCUGGGCAACAGAGUGAGGCCCUGUCUCAG
rnacentral:sRNA from 1 species